UAUACAUAAAAUAAACUAAUCUAAAAUAUUUAAAAGAUCAAGUUUCAUAUUUUUAUUUGGCUUUAUUUUAUUGUUAUUUUUUAUGCAGAGUCUCAUAAUACCUCUCACCCGCACUCAUCCACUACCUGCCUCUUCCUUUCUAGUGUUAUGAUAAUGGACCUGUCUGGGAUCUGAAAUGUGAUGUUUAAAGCUUUAGAUAAAUCUUGUAACAGAAAAUAGAGGUUGUCCUGGGACAUUUGUGGAGGAAGAAAGAUACUGGUCAUUAGUUUUUGGCCAACUCCAGGAACAAACAAUCAUGGCCACAGUCAGCUGACUAUACUUAGAGAGUCCCUCACCUGUCCCCUAGUGACCGAUGAGCUGACUUUGUCAUCAAGAAAAGGCACGGGCACCACGGUCUGAUCUGUGGCCCCCAUAGACACUGAGCCUCUGUCCUCUCAGUGCCUGUUGUUCAUCUAUGACCUGUGUUGGAAAGAAGAACUGCUGGCCGGUGACAGCAGGGACACCCUGUCCUCUCAUCAUCAGCAUGUAAAUAAGGGAUGGAUCCUCAAGGGCAUCAAGGGCCAUUGGAGCUGAGCCCCAGCCUCCCACAGUCCUAUAACCACUGGGAGCUGUGCCAUCUAGUGGGCAGGGGGGUGGGCAGUGAAUGUGAACUAGAUGAUUCUUCUGGGCAACACUCCAUUCAGAGAUUGAAAGGUCCUCAUCUUAACUGACCCACUUUAUCAUCUCUCAGGUUCCCCAAACAUGACAGUGACCAGCAAAGUACACGAAUUGGGCAAGAUCACCCUGACAUGCUGGGCUUUUAAUCUGAAACCACCUGUGGCCACUCUGGCCACUCUGGCCUGGCUUCAGGAUGGGAAGCUGGCACAGCAGCACACCUUUGGCCCUGGGACCAUCCUGCCCAGUGGAGAUGGGACCUACCAGACCUGGGUGUCUAUUUGGGUUCUUCCUGGACAGGAACCACAUUUCACCUGCCGUCUGAGGCACCGCAGCAAGAACGUUGAAGUCCCUACACUCCUUGAAACUCAAGCCAGGAAACCUGUUGAAGCCACCAGCUCUGCUUCUGCUCUUGUGGCUUCUGCUUUUCCUGCCAUGUUGGUGUUUCUAGCCUGCGCCUAGAGCAGCAAGAACACACAGGACAGCAAGAGACCAGGUUACCCCAUUGGACGAACAUUUCCCAGUAUGCAGUGAGAGUCUGGUGACCUGGUUCGAGAGUGGAAUUCCCUCUUGGGUGGUGUGCUCCUGGGCUCUGAAGAACUCUGUGCCUCUGAAUGAACAACCUGAGGUACUGGUCAACUGGAUGACUUGUCCUGAAGAUGCCCAUGGGAUUUGGAUGAAGACAGCUUUCUAGGACCCCUGCAUUGCCCACAUCCUAUUAUAGUGUCUCCUGAGGGAAAGGUUCUGCCAGAGCUCUGGUUGUUAGCCACAGCCCCAGGCAGUGGGAACAUUGAUGGGACAUAUGGAGGAAAUGAGAAAUUAUGACAUGGACAUAAUUUUAUCAUUGGAGUCACUGCCUGUGUUAACCCUUCAUGUGUGUUACUGACUAGGGGUUCCUCUAUUUAAGAGGGUGGGGAACAGUUCAAAAUGACCUCCAUCAAUUGCAUCCCCUAUAAUUGUGUCAACACCACCCCCACCCCGUGCUCACAGUAAGAGCCUCUCUUGCUUCCACAGCCUCCCUUAGUUAUGGCUCCUGUACACCUUGAUGAUACACCAUGUGAUUUUGAAGGACGGAUUCUCAGGGAACUAUAUCAGGCUCUUUCUAGAGAAAGGAAGGUUUUAAAGAGCCCAGAAUAUGAAAAAUUGUAUGCGUAUAGCCUAUAUGAGUAUUCUGUGGGUGCUAACUGUCUCAAAACAAGCUACCUGAGCCUUUGUCCUACAUUCUCCCAGAUACAGAGAAGUAGUUAGAACAGACCCAUGGCUAUGUAAACAUCUUGAACUAACACCCUGUAGCCAGAGGUUGUCAAUUCUGACUCUGAGGGUGAAUCAAGUCAGUUGUAAAUCUUAACCCCUGCACUUCCCAGAGGAUUAGUAGCUGUAAAUCCUGAGCUCCAGAGUAAUCUCCAAUGGCUAUAAAUUCUUAUGGGAUGACUCGUCCCUAACAGGCUUGAAGGGCAGCAGACCCAAAUCAGUAAAAAAAGAUACUUUCUGAGAGCCAACCUGGGUCUGCUAAGGGCCUUAGCAACAGCAGCUGAGACAUGAUCUAUGAUGACCUGGACCAAUGAG